rnacentral:lncRNA from 1 species
CUCUCUCUCUUCUUCUUCUUUUUGUUGCCUUUGUUUGCAUCAGCGGUUUGGCGAAUUGCUAUUUGUCGGCAAUGUUUGUAAUGGAUAUGAAAUUCAGAGUUAAUUACUAGAUCCCAGAAUUUAAUUGAUUUCCUCGUACCUAUUUUUUCACAAUCCAAGAAGACCAAGUAGAUGAUGGAAGUAUUUUGAAGGUGAAUUAAAUCUACAAGCCUAUCCAUCUUCUUCUCUUCCUUGUUGAUUGUGAGCAUUUCACCUUCAAAAUACUCUAGAGAAGAAAGUGUAGAAUGAUCCUUCAAGUUUGAUUAGUAUCACCACAAGCAUUCACUUCAUCUUUGGGGUUGUCUUCCCAUGUGCCAUCUUCAUCGAUCUUGACAUCCCUGCUUAUAUACACUUUCAAAAUGUUAGGAUCAAAUAAACAAUAGGCUUUGGAUGAGGAGUUAUACCCAAUAAAGGUGAGCUUUUUGCUCGUCUUCCAGCUUCAAUUUUUUUGUUGUCCAGUACAUGAGUAUACGCAAUGCUCCCAAAAAUUUUCAAGUGCGAAACAUUUGGUGUUCUCCCAGUCCAUGCUUUCUAUAGAGUUACACCUUCGAGUCCGAAUGUGGGACAUCUAUUUUAAAGAUAGACCACACAUGAAACAGCUUUAGCCCAAAGCUUCCUGGGGAAAUUUUUGUUCUUUAAAAUGCUUUGAACCAUGUCGAGAAUGGUUAUAUAUUUUCGUUCAGCUAUGCAAUUUUGUUGAGGAGAAUACAAAGCUGUCAAGAAACACCGAAUACCAUGAUCCUCACAGAAUUUGUUGAAUAUGGCUGAGGUGAAUUCUCCACUACGAUAAGUUCUCAUAACUUUGAUAAAAUAGCCACUCUCCCUUUCAACCAAGUUCUUGAAUUGUUUGAACAUAUCAAACACUUUUAUGUUUUCCUUCAAAAAAUAGAUCCAAGUUUUUCAAGUAAAAUCAUUAAUAAAAGUAACAAAAUAUCAAUGAUUACCAUAUGAGUGAGGACUGAUUGGCCCACACAUAAGAAUAAAUCAACUCAAGCAGCCUCUUCGCUCGAUAAGUUGCUUCCUUCGAAAAACUAGUUCUGGAAUGCUUACCGAUAACACACUCUUCACAUAAUUGUAUGUGGUAAGCCAUAAACCAUCUUCUUGCAGGAAAGCAAAUUGAGUCUGCCAAAAUUGAGAUGGUUGAACUUCAAAUGCUACAACCAUGAAGGAUCAUCCAUACACCCCUUCAGACAUCGAGACAUGUCAUUCUUCAUAUUGAGAGUAAACAUCAUCUUUUUUGACAUCUUCACAUUCGUAAUUAGUUUAUUAUCAUUAUCUCUUAGCACAAGACUAAGAUUUUUCAUAUGAACAAUAUAGCAUUUCUCCAAAAGUUGUCCCAAACUCAUAAUAUUGUUUGACAUUUUUGGGACAUAAUAAACAUUAGUAAUAAACUAACCUACACCAUCCUUCAAGCGAAUCAAAAUUGUACAUUUGUCUUCAACAAGAAUUUUGUAGUUAUCAUCAAAAGAGACUUUCCCUUUAAUUAUCUCAUCUAACUCGGUAAGUAUCUCCUUUCUCCCACGUACGUGAAGCCGAUUGUUUAUUGACACCAUGAUCACAAACCUUAAGCUCUGAUACCCACUUUGAUGGAAGUAUUUCGAAAGUGAAUCGCUCACAAUCACACAAGAAAAUGACGAAGAUAAAUAAGCUUGUAGAUUUAUUUCACCUUCACCAUUUUUCACCUUAUCUCUAAAAACAAUCACUUUUUCUAAAAAUAAUCACCACAACUAGAAAUGUGAAAUACAAACAGACUCAUUAUAGAUAAUUACGAACAAACUCAUGGACCAAUGAUUUGAGGGAUACGUCCCAGGUUUUUUUUUUCAAGUGUGGAAACUCGAGGACCCGAAGUAGUAGGAUUGAUUCUCAUAAUAAUACAAGUGAAAUAUAUUGAAACUUUUUGCGAAAAAUUGUCGAAUUUAAAAAAAAUGUUCGACAGCAAGUUGAUCGGUUAAUUCAAUAAGAAAUGGUAAUUAGAAAAUUUCCCUCUAUUUUUUGUUUGUUCACUACUUUAUAUAUGUGUACAUAAUAAAUAUACCAAAUGGUUAUCGACACCGAUAAAUUAGGUUUAAUUUCUAACAGUAGAAGGGAGGGGAGGUGAGAAUAAACUGGGUACAUAGCCACCCUGAUUUCCAUGAAAGACAAAAGAAUUGGACGCAGCUGAGGGAGAUAGCAGUGUCAAAUCAUCACCCAUGGCUUUGUGUUGAUAACUUCAACGACGCGAUUAACACUGCUGAGAAGUGGGGAGGCGAUGUGAAGUCUGCUACGUGCAUUGAUGGCUUUAAAGACAUGUAGUUUGAUACUGCUUUAAUAGAUCAUGGCGUUAAGGGGCAGAGAUUCACCUGGUGUAAAAACAGAGAUGAUGGAACUAUAAGAGAAAAAUGGAGGCCUCGCGGAUGUCGUUUGGAAGAGUCUGUUCCUCCCUAGAACUCAAGUACUGCAUGAUCCUUCUACAGGAUCAGACCAUUUCCCGUUGAUAGUUUACCCUGAUUGUAGAGAUACGAUUGAUGCAAAGCCAUUCAGAUUUGAACACAUUUGAACAACCGAUGAAGGCCGUGAAGAAACGAUUCAAAAGGCAUGGGAUGUGGAAACUGAAAGAGAAGAUCUUAAACGAGUUGAAAGAGUCUUAAAAAAUGGCAAACUGAUCUGAGGUGGUGGAGUAAGAGGACUUCUGUUUAAUAACUUGAAGAAGAUUGAGCAGUUGAAAGCAGAACUGCAGAGCCUGCAAGAUUGCGAAGAUGGAAAUUUCUCCAAUCAAACCACCCUGAUUAGAAGAAGCAGAAACAAGACCUUGCAAAGUUAAAACAGAUGAAGGUGUUUUGGGGUUGACAACGAAAGGAGAUUUUGCAGUUUCCAAUCUGUUUAUUAUCAUAAUCUGUUUAGAUCAAAUGGUUCUCUGCCUUCUUCAUUCAAUGAUACCACCAUUGUUGUGACACAGAAAACUCCUCAUCCAACCUUUCUUGAAUGAGAUCUCGGAAAAUCAAAGUGCUUUCAUCUCGACGACGCCUAUUAUGACUUCUCCAUGAAUUCCGAGACCUGAAAUGGACUCCAGAACACCAAUUUGAAUUUAUAUCGAAUUGGUUUUGAGCCAGACACAAUCUAUUCAAACUUAACGAUUUCACUCGAUCCCAAUCUAUUUACCUUCUGCACAUGGAUCCUUCCAAGCAUAUUGAUAAGUUCAACUUAGUUAAAAACGGCACAAACGUCCUGUUGUUAACACAUAAAAACGGGAUUUAAAGGAGGCAACUCCACGGCGAUAAGUUCAACUUAGUUAAAAAGAGAGGCAGAGGAAGAUGGUUCCAAGCAAUUGGAGUGACCUCACUCCAUCUUCUUUUUCAUUUCUACUUCCUUCUGAUGUUUAAGGCAAUACCGCCCAUGAACUUUGCUAGUUUUUCCUUUAAAGUAAUGCAGUUCUUCUGUGGGCUUAAACAAAAAAAAAAAAAAAAAAAGAGCAGGUGGAAAGGAGGAAUGGUGAAUAAUCAAGGUCAAAUUGUCACGCUUUUCAGGUUCAAUUUUAAAUUCUGAACAGAUCAUUCAAUCUAAGUAAUUGAACUUUCCAACUGUUGAAUCCCAACAGCGUUGAAGUGGGAAAUGGUUGAACCAGAGGAUUAGGUAGCAUGUCGUCCAGAUUAUGGUCUAUGUAAAAUUCUAUAAAUGUAAAUAAAAAUGAAGUCUCGCAUUUUAUUUUUAGUCGACACAACUUCUUAGGAUUAAAUUACGACUAAUCGAUUUAUCACAAGCUCUUAAUCUCAACUUAAACAGUCAAUUCUAUACCAUAUUUGGGGAGACGAAUUUGUUCUUGUAUGAAAUAAUCAACUUAGGGCAACGUCUAAUAACAACAUCGAAAUAAGCUAUGCACUGAAUCGCAAUAUUUCCAUUUUGGCAUCACUUUCAAUCAUUUCCCAAUUUCACACAAACCCCGAAGAAACCUCUAAGAAACUUAGUUUUCGAGCCACAAUGAUUCCGAUAGCCUCAAUUUUCAAAUUCUCUCAAUCCGAAUUCGGUGGUGUUUAAACGCCCGUGCAUCUCACGCUUUGUCAUGAUUAUCUCAUAAGCAAUGGUGAUUGCUUAAAGAUAAAUCAACGAGAAUGAGGGACAAGAAAGCAUUGAUUAACAUGUUUAGUGCGGAUCAGUACCCCAGAUGUCAACAUAUUAUUACUAUAGAGCCGUGACCAACUUGGCAGAAAAGUACAGGACGCAAGAAGACAUCGUGGAAUAUAAUAGCGUGUUUAGAUUGGCAAAUCCCCCUCGAUAUCACAGCUUUCCAAAAGGAAUACUAAAUUAUUGACAUUUUCGGGUGGUUAGAUCCACACACAAAAAAAAAAAAAAAAAAAAAACUGUCUUUAACUCUAUUAAAUGCUUGCUUGAUGCUUCCUCUUUUAAUUUUAGAAAGCAAAAGCGGGGAAGGUCCUGGGAACCAUCCUCUUUUGAAAACGUGCUUGAUUAAAUUGCUUUUUCGUGUGCAUUUUCCUCGCAACAUGAGCAAGAUUACCUCGUCGUGGUGGUGGGGUCCAUCUAUUCUUCGUCUUGGAUUUUUUGGAAUAAUAAUGUUGGACUUGGAAUAGUAUUUUUUGCCGGUGGGGGAGCGCACGUCUUCGGGCUUGGAUCGUGCGGGUAGAGUCCUAGGUUGACCAACUGUUCCUCGUCAAAGUCAGAAAGAAUACCUUGGAAAUUGGAAAAUAUAACAGGAGGGUAUACGACCGGACUUCCUAGACCUUUUUCCUGGCUGUAAGUUGUGUAAAGCGCACUCUUGACUUUUAAAGGGUAUUGCCCAUCUCAUGUUUAUGCGUCAUUGGAGCUAUUAAAUAAAUAUUUUAAUUAUACCAAUUAAAUCAUAAAUAUUUUUAUAUUUUAUCAACUGAAUUCAUCCAAUUAAUUUUAUCAAAAAAUUGUUGAUGUGGAUAUUAAUCCUUCUACGUGGCACAACAGUCACUAAUAUGAAUAUUCUUAAACAAUAUUUUAAUUUUCUUUUCUUUUCUUCUCUUUUUUUUUAGACUAUGUGCUAAUGAGGGUCACCGAUCAGCCCUUGCCAGCCACAAUUGAGGAGUGCAACAAAAUCUCGGCAUCAUCGCCUCAGCGAGGGCCGCAAUGCCCUUGCCUUGUAUCAAUGAAAGUUGCCAGUCCCCAAUCAAGAAAAUAAAAAACAAAGAAAAGAAAGCAAAAGAAAUCAAAAAAUUAUUUAAAAAUAAAAUUAUUAAAAAUGUCCAUAUCAAUAUCAAUGUUAGUCGUGUCAUAUAAAAUAGCCAGCAGCUAUAUCAGUGAUUUUCAACCAAAAAGACCGAACAGACUCAAUUAAAAAAAUGUAAAAAGAUUUAAAACUAAAUUAACACGAUUAAAAUGCUUAUGAUUGAAUUGACAUAAAUAUAAUACAUUUAAGAUUUUUUUUUAUAAUUGCAACAAACGUGACAUAAUACAUCAGCUCAAAAAGAAAGUUGUGAAUGAUAUCGGGGUCGAUGUUAAGUUUGGUGAUUCAAUGAACAUCAAAUCGAUAUCGGAAUGAUGAAUUCGAAAUACAUUUGGGAGCAUUAAGCACGAGGGGAAGAGCACGAUUUGAUUUUUACCCUGACCCGGAAUCUUCCGUCCCCACCACUUUAAUUGAUGAAGCUGCUUUUCCUGGGCAACAAGACAGAUUAGGAUCAGCUCGAAUAUAAAUGGGCAGCAGAAACCUGAUCUCUCGGGAAUAUUCGCAGUUUAUUUUACGCUCUAAUGAAACCUUUUUUCCAGUUGUUUAUAACGUUAUAAAACUAUCGUCGCGUGUUUAUAACGUUAUAAAACUAUCGUCGCGUGUAACGUCACGACAGACGUCGAAAUUGCGCCUUUGUCCGCUUCCCAAUGGAAUACACCGAAAGGGAUUUUGUGGGCAAUGGCGAGUGGAAGCCACUCCAUACAAAGCACUAUAGUCUAUAGUGACUUGAAAAAAAUGAAAAUGCACAUAAAAUUAGGAAAAAAAUGAAAAUGCGAAAUUUAAUUAGAUAAAUGAAACGGAUUUCGAGAGUUCGUUCGAUUUGGGGAAAAUGAAUUGUUCGAAAACUUUUUCAAAAAAUAAUCAUUUGCAAAAAUGAAUUACCGAAAAAUAUUUUCAUUGUCGAUACGAGCAAUUGUUUUAAUAAGGUACUUUUAGAGUUAAUAUCAUUAAAAAAAAAAACCUCAAACUAAUACACAUGUGAUAAAUUUACUUUAAACUAUUAUUUUGACUAUUAAAAAAUCAAAUUGAAAUAUCUAUGACGGAUUUACCUACGUUAGUUUCGGUUAGAUUUUACUGAUCAAAUUGUUGAAUUGGAUAAUACAUGACAAUUAACGAGUGUACCAAUUUAGGGUUUUACCCAUUAUCGAAUUUGUGAUUUUUCAUGGUAUUAAUUCAAUUUAACGGAAACUAACAGUGGAUAAAUUUAUAACAAAUGUACCAAUUUUUGGGUUUUUAAUGGUCAAAAAUUUAGUUUUGAAUAAAUUUGUUACAGAUGUAUCAGAUUGAGUUUUUUUUUUUUAGCAAAAAAAUAGUUUAUGGUAAAUUUAUUAUAGGUACACUAGUUAAGGGUGCGAAAAGAAAUCAAGAAUUGCCCAAACCGCCCGCAAUUGGACUAGAUCAGCCUAAAAUUGACGAUUCCUUUAGAAAUUGGUUCGGUUCCCAGUUCCAAUUUGCUAGAACCAGUGAGUAUCAGCCGAUUUCCUAUUCUAGGUGUGGAACCGCCCACCUGAACUGAUAUAUAUUUAUUUAAAAAUGAAAUUUUAAAUCAAUUAUUUAAUUAUUUUGUAGUUUUUCUAUCAAUAUAUAUGUACAUAUAUAUUUGCAAAAUUAAACAUUAUCGACUCAUUUUGUCUCUUGGGUUCAUAAUAAGAUUAAAGCCCCAACUUUUCAUUCUAAUGAUCUAUUUACUUGCUUUCUUAAUCAAAACAAAAUAAACAAAUGAAACGAAUGGAAGAGACUGAUUGGAGAUGCUCAACCCGAAAUUAAGGUCAACAAGCUUUAACGUUCUUAAUUAGGGAUUGUUCCUGAACCGAACUGGCAGUGCAAUUCUCAAGUAGAUCUAUGAAAUUAACGGACAGUUUUCGAUUCUAAUUUUUCAACGUGAAAAUUACUCACCACUAAUACUAAUUUUGGAUCUUUCAUAGCAUUAACUUUAUUUUAUGUAAUUACUUAUUUUUGGCGAAACAUACGGAUUAAAAUAACAUGGGAAUCUUUCCUUUCUGGGUGAUAUAAUCGGAAAUGGGGAAAGGCGAAAAAGGCGAGUGGAUCGUGUCGCCUUCCUCGAAGGGGAGCUGACGGGGCGAAAGGAUAAGAUCGAGCCGAGAUUUGAGGUGGUGGUUGGUGGGUCACCUCUUGGCAUGGCAAACGUUACCUGCGUGAAAUUGACAGUUGACCUCUCCCCGUAGACUCGCCCCGGACAUGUCCAGGAUCGAUGUACUUCCGGUUCCAUAAUUUCUACGCCCACCUCGUCAUGUUAGCACGUGCUCUUUUUCUUGGCAGCUAAAUUAACGCGACCGGAAUAAGCAAAAAUUGAAUUGACCAAAAAAAGAAAAAAGCAGAAUAAGAAAAGGAAAAUUGCGUGGGCUAAACAUGGCUCCGUAGGUCAUUUGCCUCACGGGACUACGACAUUCGAAAGGCGACACUCAAAAUUACAUGAAUGGCCCUUGUCAUGAUCAUUCAUCAAGAUACCACCAGGGAAGUUAAGUAUCGAUUUAUAGUGGAUUGUGACAGAGUGAGAAAUUUCGAUAUCUAGAGAGAGACCAUUGCCAGAUCCGGCAAGGUCGACCCUUGCUUAAGGCCGACGAAAGGAAAAAAAAUGGGGAAAAAACAUAAGGAAAGGAAAUGAAAAGAAAAGUAAAAAAAAAUUAAAAAUCAACCAAAAUUAGCUUAAAUGAAUAAAUUGAUAAAUCGUUAAAAAAUUUGUGAUUAAGUUGGUACAAUUGAAAGAUUCAUAAUAAAAUUUAUCUAAUUGAAAUAUUUAGAAUUAAAUUAACCGUUACACAAUACGUUUAACACUUUUUUUAACAAUGGUUAAUACAUCGAAGAAUCUCAAACUAAUACAUGUGUAACAAAUUUACCAAAAAUUAUUUUUUUUAUCAUGAAAAAUCCAAAAAUUGUACACUUAUUACAAAUUUACUCCCGAAUGACCAUAAAAAAUUAUAAAUUGAUAUAUUUAUGAGAAAUUUACCAAAAAACCAAUUUAUUUGACCGCUAAAAACUCCAAACUAGUACAUUUGCGACAAAUAUACCUUAUGUUAAAUUAGAUUAAUACCACCAAAAAAUAUUUAAAAAAAAUUGUAAACUGUGACAAACGGAGAGUAAAAUCUUAAAUUGGCAUACCAGUCAACUGUUACGUAUCAUUCAGACAGUAAAAUUUAACGAAAACUAAUAAAGGGUAAAUUUGUCAUAAAUAUAUCAGUUUGAGAUAAAAUUAUCAAAGGUGUACCAGUUUUGGGUUUUUGAUGAUCAAAAAAUUAGUUUUUGGUAAAUUUAUCACAUAUAUAUCAGUCCGGAACUUUUCAGGGUAUUAACUCUUUUAGCAAGUCUCCCAAUCUAAUAAUGUAUCAAGUUAUGAGCCAGAUAGACAUAUGUGCUUACGGUAUAAAACUUCGAAUUCUCUUUUUCUUCCUGUAUAAACUUAUCCUUUUCUCUUUCCCUUUUUUAAAUCAUAAAUGUGUGAAAGGGUCUUAAAAGUAAUGGGAAUGAACGAGAUGGGACCGUCGACCAAAGAAAUAUAAAAAAAUGAGAUGGGACCCGCCCCGGGGGACAACUUGCGCAAGUGGACGAUCGACGCCAUAGUAGGACAACAUCAAGUGACUGGCAAGACGACAAACAACGUUUGGCAAGCGCGAUGACGUCACGGGCCUCCCUUUGUAACAAGGAAAGAAAAGACCACGUGUUUUUAACUGCUCGCCACGCAACUUGGGCACGAUCGCGAACUUUCAUAGAAGCUGAGGAUAAAGAACGAAAUCCAAUCUUUUUUAAGAAAUGAAAUGGAGAAAAGUAAAAUAAAUAAAUAAAAUUAAAAAUAAAAGGACAAAAUAUCGGUUCGCGCAGGGUGCAUGCAUCUGCUCGGGCUAUAUAAGCUUCGGCGUUCUGCCAUAACCAGAAGUUCAAACGACCGGGAUUCCUCCAUAAGAUCGGAUCUUUCCUGCUUUGGCGACGCCGGAAACCCGAAUUCAGUGCCCAAACAGUAGUCGACCGACCGACCGACCGACCGACCGGGAAGUUCCGAUCAUGGCCGUGGAGAUGUUUCAAGAGCCGGAGUCGGCGUUCCUCGACUCCGUCCGGCGGUACCUGCUGUCGGAGGACUCCGAGUGCCGGUUCUUCGAGCCGCCGCCGCCGCCGACCCGGAACUUCUGCGGCGCCGGAGCCCCGGUGAUCUGCGGGAGCUCCAGCUUCAGCAGCCUGUACCCGUGCCUGACCGAGAACUGGGGCGAGUUGCCGCUCAAAGAAGAUGACCCGGAAGACAUGGUCCUCUACGGAGUCCUCCGCGACGCCCUCACGGUCGGUUGGGCGCCGUUCCAGCCGAGCGGGCCACCCGGUCCCGGAUUCGGGGCGAGCCAGGUGGUUAAGCGGGAGCUGGAUUCCUUGCCGGCGCCGGCUUCUUCGCCGGAAUCCGUCGCCGCAGCCGCAGCCGCAGCCGCAGCCGCAGCCGCAGCCGCUGUCCCUCAGACGGAGAAGGCGGCCCAGGCGGCGGUCCCGGCGAAGGGGAAGCAUUACAGAGGAGUGAGGCAGCGGCCGUGGGGGAAGUUCGCGGCGGAGAUUCGCGACCCGGCUAAAAACGGGGCUCGGGUUUGGCUCGGGACCUACGAGACCGCGGAGGACGCCGCGCUGGCUUACGACCGGGCCGCUUACCGGAUGCGGGGCUCGCGGGCGUUGCUCAAUUUCCCUCUCCGGGUCAAUUCGGGCGAGCCCGACCCGGUUAGAGUGACGUCGAAGCGGUCAUCCCCGGAACCAUCAUCAGCAUCGCCCUCCUCCUCCUCCUCCUCCUCAUUGUCGUCGGAGAGCGAGACCUCGAAGAGGAGGAAGAAGGCGGCCGUGCCGGCGGGUCGGGCGGCGGCGGCUCAAUUCGGGUCGGAGCGAGUGGGGAAUGCUGACGCCGUCAACGGAUCUUUGCAAGUUGGACAGCAAGUGGGAAUGUGGACAAGUGGGCAGCAGCUGAUGGCCAGUGGAUGUCGACAGACAGUGAAAUGUGAAACCACUUGUUGAGGGAGCAGGACAAUUUUGAUAAAGAGCCCCGUGGACGAUUCGCCUGAGGAAUAUAAAUUCUUUGGAAUUUUGUUGGGAGUGGAAGUGGGAGAAGAAAAUUUUCGACCAAAAAGAAAAAUUGGGGAAGAAAUUAUUCUAAAUAUAUGUAUAAAGUGAAUGAAAGGGGAGAUUUUUUAUUUCUUUUUUUAUUCCUUUCCCUUGAACCUGUGAAUACAGAUUUUGUUAAUGCAUUAUUGAGAAGUUUUGUGGAAGCCACACAGUAGAUGCUUGAAGUGUGGAAUCUUUCCUUUUUCACGUUACCAAUCUAGAUCUAGUAGCUAUAAGAAAGAAGUGGGAAAUGGAUCUAAGCGCUUGCGAAUUCCCUUUUACAUAGAAAAAGAGGGGUCUGGAUAAGCACAGGGAAUAGAAUGGGUAUAAACCAAGUACAUUGAAAGCCGCCCGCUUCCCUAAUUGGCUACUUCUCGAAUAUCCAUUUUUUUAAUGGGCCAACAAGAUUAUAAAUAUUUAGAUUGCCCUUGUUUCGUCAGAAAUUUUGUUGUUAUUAUAGAGGUGAACAUGUCCCUACCUUUCCCUUCGGGGCUAGGGGACGAAGGUUUCACCUUCUGUCGGUGCAUAGUUUUUAACACAGGUAAAGAACGAAAUUUUCUUUGGUUACUUCAACAAUGUUCAACAGAAAUCAGAAUAUGCACAAGAGAAACAAAGUUUUCAUCUCAAGAAAAUUAAAAAGCUUUGAAUUCUGGAGAAAAAUCAAACGCCCUCUGAAGCGUGAAGUCAUAACUUUCAAAGUAUCCAUUUAGUCAUUAUUCGUUCGGACAACAGUUCAACCCGUUCCCACGUGUCCCAAAUGUGAACACUGAACGGCGCACCGAAAGCUCAGACAAGCGGGAAAAAACAUGUGGGCGUGCGCUCAAGGACUAAGGAUAAUAUAGCCUAUCUACAAAUUGCUUGUACAUUUCUUGACUUUUCAAAUUUGGAGUGGACUCGUUCGAUGUAUGUUGACGUUCAAGUUCACAUUCAAAGAGGACAAGAACAUUACCUAAAGCCUCAUAGAUCUGCUCGACAGCUUAAAAGAAAAGGACAAUUAGAGCUCAUUCAAAUCAAUGUUGUACAAUGUCAUUUGCACUGCCAGGCAAAUUCGCAUUAAAGUGGCGCCACAGUUCAUUUCCAAUUGGGUCAACCAUAAUAGGUACAAUUAGCUACCGGCUGGUAGAUCAGCAAAUUGAUGUAUCACUUGUGGCAAUUGGAUAGAUACAUGUUACUUACACCGCCGCAGCUUAAAUGAAAGCUGACACCAACCGGGAUCUAAUUUAUCUAAAAACCACACGCAUCUGCUAUUGGCCAGUAUACUUGGGUUUCCGCUUCUCGGCGAAUGCCGCUAAACCUUCCAAGCGAUCUUUUGUGUUCAAUAGUUGCUCGUAACAAUCCUCCUCCCAUUCAAGUGCUGAUACCAUGUCCAACUCUAAUCCUUUGUUGAUCGCUCUUUUAGCCAUCUUGAGGGCUAAUGGACCCUGAAAAUAAUAGGAAAUACUUCAAUCGUGUGAGGAAUGAAAGAUGAUAGAUGAUUCGACACAACAAAUUGACUGAAAAUUUCACCUGAACAUUCUUACAAGAUGUUAUCAAAGAAACAAUUUAUAUCUUUGAAUUGACGGGGCAUAUACUUGGCGAUCAAGAAGUGUUGACAAUCUCAAGGGUAAAGUACCAUGGACUACAUGGUUGUUCCCGUUUAAGCUAUUCAGGAACUAAAGUCAUAGGGCUUGCUACACUUAGAAGUUGGUAAUUAAAUAUAAACUCACUAUAUCGUGCUUUUGGUAAAGAUAACAGCUCGGCCCUUGAAGUUCUGAAUGAACAUUCUUAGAAGUUUCUCGUUAGAGUAUCUUUGAGGCAUAAUACGAUGAUUGCCAAUCCUAUUGGCAAUACAAGGCACCAUCAUGAGCCUCCCAUUUAUAACAAGCUUCUAUGCACUCCUUAAAGGGGAAAACAUUUUUGUUAAACCCCUUUUACAGUCAAACAGAUGUUCUAAGUUGAUGAACAGACUAACAAUCCUUCCACUGAUUGAUCCUUUAUCAACCUUCUAGUUUGAGGGCCCCUAGAGUAGUAAGCUGAACCCAAAAAACAAAUAAUACCACUAUCGGUGAUAAGUGGGAUAAAGCAUCUCUCAAAAAUUCAUUUUUGAUGGAUCAAUUCUUUGUUCUAGACGGCCAGAUAAAGUAUCGUGACUAUAUAUCAUGGGAUGAUCUGGUUGCUCCACCAUUUUUUUCCAUGUACACUUUCAAGAUGUGAAUAAUAGCAAAAAUGGAUGUUAUACCUUCUGAUUGAUAUCCCUCGCAAUCUCAAGUGCCUUUAGAUGAGCUUCACCAGAGGCAACACUGUGAUUGACAAGACCUGCAACAUAGCGAAUGUGAACCACUACAGCAUGAGUAGCAACUUCCUCCUCCCUGCUCAUCAAAGGGACAACACCAUGAACCACAUAAGCAUACCCAUAGAUUUUGCAUCUUUGCCUCCAACUCUCCGCCCUGUGUAUAUGAGUUCCUUUGCCAAAGACUUUCCCACUAUUCUAGGAAGCCUCUGUGUACCACCUGCUCUGCAAAGAAACAAACCAAAUGAGAAGUGAUUUCCCUUAGAUGGACGAUCUAAUCGCUCUGACGCUUAAAGAUGACAACAAAGAAAUGCCACAUGUUCAAGUCCUCUUGCAUAUUGCAUAUUUAUUAAUAGGAGACUUGACUCUUGAUGAAAUCAAUUUACACAGAAAGAAGAAUAAGCGACACUACUUAUUCCCUAAUUUUUCUCUGAUCUGUGAAAAACAGGAUCUCCUGCAGAACCAUAACAAAGUAUAACCGAUGAUUGCAUUUCAUGAGUAAGGUGCCUCAAAAGAAGAGAAAAAGGCAACAAUGAGAUUGGGGGCAGAAUAAUUGCAUCAGACUUUAUACAAUGAGUUCAAUAUAUGAAGCACAGAUAUGUAAGGAGUGGAGAAAAGACUCAGUUCUUAAAGUACUGAAGAAUUCAGCAAUUCUUAACUGUGGAGAGCCUAUUUUUAGUUAAAAUAAUUAUCCCAAGAAUAUCUAGAUUAUGCCACAAAUAUUGAUGCAGAUGAUGACCUGCCUUGCCAGUCCAAGUCUGGCCUACCGAUUUCUGAUUCUUAUUUUAAUGUCCUUGAUUGUCAUGACCUGCCUUGCUAGUCCAAGUCUGGCCUACCGAUUUCUGAUUCUUAUUUUAAUGUCCUCGAUUGUCAUAGAUUUGAUCAACCACCUAGAAAAUAAAUCUGCUUCAUACAGAAAAGCAGUGCCAUUACAAAAAGAUGAGUGAUAUAAGUUAACAAAAUUGUGUAAUACCCUGGAAUUAUGGCAAGUCCUGUUUCAGGCAAGCCCAGAACCGCAUCAUCUCCUGUCAAUAAGUGGCAAAGCAAGGAUGUAUGAGGGAUAUCUGACUUAUGAGGAACCCAGUCCUAACGUAAAAGGAGGUCGACUUGGAAGGUAAUGAAGAGCUAAUACCACAUAUUCGAAGGUCACAGGAUAGGGCCAAUUCAAGUCCUCCCCCUAAUGCUGCUCCCUCAAUAACAGCAAUAGUAGGAAUAUGUAGAUCCUAAAUUCCACAUUCAAGUAAUCCAUGUAAGCAAUCAAACAUAACUAGCAUUAUAGCUUUACGCACCAAAACAGAGGGAUCCACUAAGGAACAUCUAAAUUAAUCAGAAAGGCCAACAAGAGACCAGAAGCCAAUCCAAAAAGUGUCAAGUGGCUAUAACAUGGCGUGAAAGUUAGAAGGUAAAAAGGAGUUUGUGCAAAAGUGUACAAGAGUAGGUUAGUGAAAUGUGAUUCUGCAUAACUAUAUCCAUAGCUUAUAGCAUAAAAAUUCGUCUAAGCUCUCAGCUCAUCAGUCUGAUUAAGAAAAGGCACAUUUCAAACUAGAAUGCAGAUCCACAAUGCAAUCCAUGGAUUUACAGCAGCAAGAGUCAUCAGUCAUUUAUAAGGUCUUACAGACAAACUAUGCAAGUACAUCACUAAGGCAAAAAAUGUCUCGGGCUCGUCCAUGAUGGUUUGAAAAUCACACUUUUUUUUUUUACUUACACAGCCAAACUUUGAUUAAUUUGAAUUUAUCAUACAGGAAUUAAAUAAGCAGAUACAAACAGUGUGCAUACAAGAACAACGAAAGAAUUUGUAAUACUGAAGUGGAUGAUUAUCUAAAGGUUAAUCUUGCUUCAAGCUCCAAACUAGAAAACUAGUGCACCACAGACCAUACUAUGUUGAGCAAAAGCCUUGUGAUGUACCCUACCGCUAAGAGCUCUAGAGGCAAUAAAAAUGCAAUAGCUCAUAAGUGGGCAUCGCUGGCAGCAAGCAAAAUAAUCUGGUAUGAAAACAGAGAGGACAAAAACCCACCUCCAAUGAGGAGAAUGUCAAACGUAGUAAAUUCACAAAAAGCUGAACUUCAGAUGGGCUCAUUGUCUUGCGCUCCUGCCAACUCAAAGAAAGACGAGGGAAACAAUGAAGAAAUUGCAUAUGGAAAACAUGCUUUUAAAAAGGGUAAAAGAGGGAGGAAGAAGUGUAACCAAAAUGAAUAACAAAUGUACAAGAAGCGCUAUACAUUCUAAAAAACAUUAGCCUGUCAUUAAGAGUUAUCUACCCAAAAAAACAAUCGACAUUCUCGUACUCCCACCAGAAAGUCAUCUACUAUGAUUCCAAAAACAGCUUCUACAUAGUCAAAAACAUACAUCCGAUGGAAUAAUACAUUUAGCCUAAAAUCUUAGUAUUGUGAUGGUAAUACCUUUAAAUCAGCACCAGCACAGAACACUCUCGGCACCGCGCUGCAGAUCAUCAAAACAUUUGCUGAAGUGUCCUCCCUCACAGCUUCAAACGCGUUCUGUAACCCCCUCAACAUAUCCCUCCCUAUCGCAUUCUUAGCUCCAGGUCUAUCCAAGCAGACCUCGACUAUUCCUGAAGAUUGCAAUGAAUCCUUCUCAAGAAAAACCCUUGUUAAAUCAAAUCAAAGCACAUUCAAACAUCGCUCCUCACACCUAAUUACCAUAAGAAAUCGAAGAACUGUUCAACAAACUGCUUUUCGGUUUUUUAAGUCGUUAUCUCUACGAAGAAUACCAGAACAAUCUUCAGUUGUGGCCAAUUCUUGUGUCACUCUGGUCUCCCCGGAAGCUUCGAUCCUAACUCGCAAACUCCACUAUUGAACUCAAUUCAGAUUAUAAAGAACUAAAGAGAAAAACACAACCUUUCUUCUAGUCAACCAAUCAUCAAGCUUUUUCUCUGCUUACCCACGAACAACCAUCACGUCAAAAUCUCCAAAACACGCUCUUUCUCCUAAAAUCUCAAGACCCAUAUUUGUCCCAUUCACGAACAUCGUAGAGCAGGUGUCCAAGCCAAAAAACUAAACAUUUCACAAACUCAAUCAGCUAGGGAGAACGCGAAUGCAAGCGUGAAGUACCGGAAUCGGAAUCGGAGAGCCUGUUCAGUUUCACCGACUCCGACGCGGAGGUAGCCGACUCCAAGAUGAGGGUCCGCCGAGUUUGGAGCUGCCAAUUUCCGGGCACGGAAGUGAAACAUCGUGCGGAUGCUAUGGCCCUGGAGCUCGACGCGUGGCGAAUCGUUUCGCGCGGAUUGAAGAGCUUGGUCGGGGAAUGGGGAAGUGGGUUUCGCUUCAAUGAUCUGGCGAUGGUCUGGAGACGUGAAAGACUCGCCAUUUCUUCUCUUUCGGAUCAGCUUCAGAGCCGGCACUGAGUCAGCGAGCGGAACUUGAGGAGGGAGAGUCCGUCAAACGGCCGGUGCUUUGGAUUCGGGGUUCAUUUUCUUGGCUAUGUAUCAUUUUGGGAAAAUUUAGAAUAAGUAUCAAUGUUUUUUUUUUUUUUUUAAUGACCGGGGGAUUACCGGAGAUCAUAUGAGGGAUCACACGCAUUGAUGGAGCCUCACCGUAAACCGAUAUUUAGACAUAAACACUCAGGGCUAGCUCAGUAAACUACCCCCGGUAUCUCCACGUAAAUCAUGAGCAUUCAAAAAUUCGAAAUCAUCACGACUACCUACGGGUGGGAGCAUCGAUGUUAUUACAUUCAUUUUUCCAAAAAUGAGUUUAAAGUGGACAUUAUUUUUUUUUUAAAAAAAAUUCUAAAUAAAAAUUUAAAAUGCUAUUAUUUUCUCAAAUAAGAGCACAUUAAUUCAAAUAAAAGCUCGAAGUGCCAUCAUUUUUUUAAAUAAGGACCUGAAGUAGCCAUAUCACUCCCAAAUGAGGGCAUCAACUCACUAUUUGAUAGGGGCAAUUUUGUCUUUUAAAUUUUCCUUUUUUUUCUAUUUUUUUCCAUAAAAAACAAACUAAAAAAAUUAUUAAAAAUUUAUUAAAAAAGAAGAAGAAUAGAGAUAGGAGAGAGGGCUUUCUCCCGCCUAUGGCUACUGCCCCAUCGCUGGUGGGGCAAUAGUGAUGGCCAGCACUUGGGCUAGGACCAGCAACCCUCAUCGACUAGAAGCGAGAGAGGGUAGCAACCCUCUCCCAAAUCUGGAUGAUGGUCGCAAGCCCUCCCUUUGCCACCAACGACCCUCACCCAGCACCUUUGACCCUCGCCUCCGAUCAACAAUGGUUGUCGCCCCUCACCUAGGCACUAGCGACCCAUCAACCAGUGUGAUGGGGUGGCGACCACCAACGGGAGGGGCUCCUCCAGCCUCUUUUUUUUGUUUUAAGGUUUUUUAAUUGUUAAUCUAAUUUUCAAACCAAAAGAAAUUAAUUUAAUAGAUUAAAUGUGUUUUGACGAAAAUACCCUUGGUCAGUUGAAAUUUUUUGUCGACUGGUGAGCCGAUGAAGUUAGGCUCUUAUUUAAAACAAAUAUAAUCAUUUUAGAUACUUAUUUGAAACUAAUAUGGUUACUUCAUGCCCUUAUUUGAAAAACUGAGUGCACUUGGGGCUCUUAUUUAGAAUUUUUCCUUAUUGUAAAUAAGAGCCUAAAGGGUAUUUAUAUUCUCAAACUAGUGACUAAAAUUAAUAUUAUUUUAAAUAAGAGCCCAAAGUAUCUUCAUUUUCUCAAAGAAUGACAUGAAGUGGACUUUAUUUUGAAUAAGAUCAUGAAAUUGUCAUACCAAUCUUUAAAAAGGCUUAAACUCACCAGCUGAUGAAGGAUAUUUUAGUCUUUUUAAUUUUUACUUUUUUUUUCUUUUUUCUCUCUUUUUAAAAAAAAUAAAACUUAAAAAAACAUACACAUACAGGCCCUCCGCCUAUGGUCUUCAAUGCCGAUGGGGCGCGACGAUGGCCGCUUGGGCAAGGGCCGCCGAUGCCGGUACUACACAAGGGGAGUAGGGGGCGCACUCCUCACCCAAAUCUAGUAGAGAGUUGCCACCCUCUCUUGUUUUUUAGCAAGGACUAGCAAGCCAUCGUCGCCUCUGGCUAGUAAGGGUCGUCAACAUUGUUACCACCCCACCGGCGAUGGGGCAAAGACCACAGGUGAGAGGCUUCCCACCUUCCCACUUAGGUUUUUGCUUUAAAAUAAAAAACAUUUAUCUUUUUAAAAUUUUUAAUUUAAUUUAAUUGAAACUAAAUUGACUUUAAACAAAACUACCCAUGAUUAGUCAAAAUAAUUUGCGAGCCAACAAAGUUAAGCCUUUUUAGUAAUAACCAUAAUCACUUCAGGUUCUUAUUCGAAACAAAAUUUAUAUUAAGGCACUUUAAACUAUUAUUUGGAAUUUUCCCUAUUCUUUUGUUGAGUAAUGUACGAAUAAGUAAAUCACAAACAUAAAUUCUUAUCUAGCAAUCGAAAAUUAUUUUUUGAAAGUGACCAUCAUUUGCUUCAUAAAUUUCAAGAUAAUGACGUUAUGAAUAUCUAAAUUUUGCUCCUUAUUCAAUUGAGUAUGUCAAAUUAUUAUAUUCAAUUAAAUACCCCAACCUUUUCUGUUGAAUCGAUAAUUUGUAAGGUCGCAACUUGCUUUUGGUGGUAAAAAUUUGAAUAUUAUGCAGGUGCUUAAAUCCUGCAAUUCAUAGCACCUGGACCGCAUUUGGCAAAUUGGACUCGUACGAAUCGUAGUUGGCAUUUCGUGUCGUUUCCGUCAUGGGACGAUAUUAGGUUUGUUUGGAUAUAGUUCCAGGUAUAUGCCCAAGAAGAGAGAGAGGCCUUUGCCCGGCAUACUAUAAAUCUUUCCCUGUUCACUGGAUAUGCUUCAACUCUGCAAUUAAUCGAAAGCAAGCGAUUCACAUAUUGACAACCAGCAAUAGUUCACAGCAUCGCGCAACUUCCUAUUCAUCAACCUGUUCUUGCUCGACGGGUAACUAAGUGAUGAGUCGUGACAAUGGCUAGGCUUGGUUUUCUUUUCUAAUUCCAGUGGAUGUGAAGAUAUAAAGCACUUGUAGUUGAUUUUUUUUUUUUUUUUUUUGAGUGUUUGCGCUUCUCCAAGAUCAGGAAUCCACAACCUGUCUUAUGUUUAAUGGAAUUUUAGCAACGUUACUUCUUACACUGUUUGAAUGAAAGGUCGCAAGGAAACACAAUCCUAAACAUCAUGAUUCGUAAUGAUAGAAUUCCAUCAACAAAAAGGACUCACAAAGAUACAGAAGCUGGGCUCUAAUCAACGACCACACCAGCAGAAAACUCGCUUUCCCAGAAUAAUGCAUAUCCCACUCAAAUUUAUUUUCUUGUCACUUAAUAUCAGUUCUUUGCAAUAUCAGUUCUUUACGCCUUACACGAAUUUUUAUCGACUACGGCUUCAUGUCUGAACAAAUCUGCAUUCGAAAAACCUGUGCAAUUGUUUCAUUCUUGACGACUUGAGUGUGACUCAGGAGAUGCAAGAGCUGUUUCUGCGGUUGAUGAAAUGGUUAUAUGAUUUAUUUUACUAGGUCAGAUCAUGAUCUGUUCAAGGUCUCAGUUUGCUUUCCAUUUUCAUAGCAUUGAAUUGGAAAGUAAAUAUAUCACCCUGCUUAUGCUUUGUGACUUUUGGUAACGCAAUCAGCUCUUAACUGUUAGUGUUGUAAAAGAAUUGAUAUUGCUGGAUUGUCAGAUAUUGAGAAAAGGUUUUUCAUUUUUGUCAGUUCGCUUAUCCAAGCCAUUCUUACAUGGUGAAGACUGAAGGCAAAGCAAAUGAAUCCCCUUGUAUCACCAAAUGCGUAGAUUUUUGAACACUUGAUGUGCUAGACCCGACAUAGACCUAUUUUGUGGGAAAAAAAACUUGGUCAAUAUUGAAAGAACUCGGACUAGAACUGGCACCAACAUGAUCUCUUAGCACUUGAGAGACUACAAUUGAUCUGAAAGAAAAGGUGCCUUUUCGGUGUUGACCCAAUCCAUAAUCUUGCCAGGUAGCUUCUAACUUACUGUAAUGCCUUUAAUUAUAACAGAGAUCCUGAUAUAGCCAUGUCUUGUCUUCCAAGCAUCUUUGAUGAACACUGAUUAAGUUAUAAUCAAACACAAGAGAAGGGUAUGAUGAUACUGGUGCUUGAACUUGCAUUUAAAUUUUACAUAUUUGAGUGCAAGUACUCUCGUUCAAUGAGAAGAGAUGAAAAGAGUAAUACAGAAAUAAAUCCACCUGAUUUUCAUGAUAAAGACUUUUCCUUGAUGCUUUAUAUACCACUGUCAAUGAUUUCAUGGAUUCUGAAUCCGGCUACAAUACCUCCAUAUCAGAUGCGACCUCAGAAUGCCCCCAACAUUUUCAGAUAAAUAAGUUCUCUUUAAGGCUGAAACAUGGCUUACUCACUGAGGAACAGAAAAGGAGAAGAUGGCGUGCUUAAGCUCAGGCAGUUCAGAAGGCAAUAAUCACUCCAACAAUUCUGGUCCAGGUCAAACAAAUAAUAGAACUCAAAAUGCAAAGCAACGACUUGUCAAGGUAAGGCAUUGACUUGUGAUGUGGAGAAAGUAGCUAAUGCGGAUUUUGUUAUGAAUACUCUGGCAUUUAAUUUCAUAUCUCUUUGCCACUUUAUGAACACUGUGUUCAGAUCCUAUUGAUCCAUCGUUCUAGUCUUAGCUGCUUCAUUGGAGGUCCAAGAAUGGGUUUUCUUUUCUGAGGACACUUCCAUUUCCCAGCAGACUCCUGCACAUCAAAACUGCUCUGGAAAUUAGUUAUUUCUGAUAAUGGUUUCAUCUUGGCUUCAUCCUCUAUAGCAGCUGACAAAACAUUUCCUUUAGCAUGUGAGCACUGGUGCAAAGCCCUCCGUGGCCUCGUCAAUUCAUCACUUGCACUUGUAGCUUCCUUCCUCCUUAUGGAAACAAAACUAGUGCUGUCAUUAUCUCUUCGAUUGUUUUCUUUGUCAUGACCUCCGUGAGUUGAUCUUCUUGUUGAAGUUUGAUUGACUGGAGAUAAGCCCAAAUCGCCAUCAAGCAGUGUGUGAGCAACUUCCCUAUUCUGGGCCUUCAGUCCCGAGCCCUCUUCAAAUCUACCAAUCAACUCUCUACAAGCUUUUCUUUUACCAUUGCUUGAGUUCUCGUUGAUAUUGGAGUGAAAAAGGAUGGCUUCUUCAGAAUGAAGUUGCUUUGGCCUCUUAUUUUUACAAUCCCAGUCAUUGUUUAGCAAAGCUUUAAAUUCCAUCCUUCCAUCAGUAAUUUUAGGGCAAGGAAUCUGAGGUAAAAGAUGUCUGUCCCCUUUAGAUGUACUGCCAACCUGUAAAUUUUGAACAUUUUCAUGGAUUUAGGAACCUAAGUAUCUUGCUUUUCUUUUUCUUUUCUUUUUAUCUUUUUUGUUUUACUAGGAGAAACUUAAGCAUAUUGUUGUCCAAGAACUAUUUGAUCUAAACAGAGAAACACAGAGUCAAAACCACCAAGAACUUGGCUGACUAUAUUAUACUAAUAAAAAGCUGCACUUCCUAAACAUCCAUACUGAAGGACCAAGGAAGCAAAGAAAGAUUACCUCAUCCAGAGUGUGCUGAUAUUCAUGCUCAAGAUCUUCAUGAGAGCUGCUACCGAGGACAGAGUUCAACCGUUCAUUGAUCCCCGUGCCACCAGCUAUUCUCUUACCUGACAAGUUAUGCUGAUUGUCUUCUUUUUCUCCAAUAACAUUUUUAAGAAUCAAAUCAUCUUUCACAUCACCAUUGUCCUCAACAGGAGAUCCUGGGAAGGUGCUCAAUUCUGGAGAUUCGUAGACAUAGCUUGAGAACCAAUUUGUUAUGUCAGGAGGCUCUGACAAACAUGAAAUAACUCAUUUUAGAACAUACAUAUGUCUAGAGAUAUGUAACCCACAUAGACUCGCACACAUCACGCAGUCUGACGUAUCAGCCUGCUGGGAGACCUACAAUUGAGUAACUACCAAUUUUCAUCACUCAUCUAUAGCCACUUAGAAAUCUUAACAGCUUCAAAGAGGUGAAACAAUGGUGCCUUUUAAUAUAUGAAAGAAGCUAUACCAACCAGAGAGUGGCAAAGAUGGGGUCAUAGAAUCUGCUAUCUGCACCAGAAGGGAGAAAAAAACGUAUCAUUAAGAAUGAAGACUGGGCUUUGAAGUUAUAUUUAGCUGUACAGCAACCAUUGAAGAAACACAGAGGAAAGCUGAUUACAAGAACGAAAGUCAUUAUUAUGGAAGAGCCAUGGGGAUCACAAAGUGGGUUCUUCAUCAAAACACAUAAGGAUUAUGCCACGGCAAACCCAAUUCUAAACACCAAAGGUUGCAGAACAAUACCUUGGUCGGAGUUUGAUUGUCACGAUCAUGAUUUAUGAAUGAGCCACCACCAUUACACACAAGCCCAUUGGCGUGUGGUACCUCAAGGGCACCAGCAGCAUCACCAUCUUUCACUCUGGUUACUUCCCCUGAAUUUCCAUGCUCUUUCUUGCUCUCGCCAGUAAAAGGCCCUUCUUUCUUGCAUUCGCUUUCUCCGGAGACAAAUUCUCUGCUGCAUUCGCUCAACUCAGGUGACUCAUACACAUAGCUUGAAAACCAUUCUCCGACAUCAGGAGGUUCUGCAUCAAUCAAACAAGAAUCAGUAUGAGUACCAAAUCAAAAGUAGAAAUACUUUUACAGCUUGCAGAAAUGGAAAAUCAAUUCCCUUAUUUUCCAUUUCUGCAUAACACCGAGAGAUCGAUAAAUCAUAACCUUAGCAAAUUAAUACCAACCUGAAAUUUGCAAAGAUGACUCCAAGGAAUCUGGAACCUACAAAAAGAUCAACGCAAAAGGGUAUUAGCUUUGUCCGAAGUUUCUUGCCAGAGCUAAUAGCACAACAUGAAACCCCCCUCCCCCAAAAGAACAAAAAAAAAAAAAAAAAGAAUUUUUGAAGCCAUUCAGUGAGCAAGACCAAAUUAACUCCCUCAUUCAACAAAACUGUAUCCAGUAAAUCACCUCUGUUGGAGACUCUUCUACAAGCUCAUUGCUCCCAAAAUUACCGGCAAACUCAUGAGCGCCCAAUCGGUCGCUGCCUCUGCCUCUGCCUCUGAUGCAAUUCGAACCUCGCGAAGUCGCUUCUCCUCCUCCUCCUCCUCCUCCUAUUUUGCCAUCGUCAACAACGCACCCAUUAUUCUCGCGCUCGCUCUCGUCGAGAACAGAACCCAGAAACCCCUCGCUCGUACCCAGCGAAGGCGACUCGUACACGUAGCUAGAGAACCAUCUCCUAACAUCGGGAGGCUCUGCGAGGCAACACAUCAAGCAAAAAUGAAUCAGAUUCUUCCCGUCGCUAAGCAAGGCGCCGAAAAAGACACGGAAAUCUAAAGGAAAAACGAGAAAAAAAAUUCAGGGUCGUAGAAAAGGUGCGAAAUUGCGGUCGUCGAGCUACUCUAGUUUCGUAGGGGAAGAGGCACGAGCGAUCACCCACCGGAGAGGAGCGAGGGCGAGCAGGAAGAAGCCGAAAUCUGGGAACCCGAAUGCGGGGUUAGCAUCUGAAGAACAUGGCAAUUGGCAUCCGAGGUUGCAGACUUCGACGGUGAAGAUGAAGAGCGAGUUCGUACCUGCGAAUCGCGUACGCUGAAAGGAGCGCUGGGCUUCAUUCGAGCUGGUUCGUCUCUCUCUCUCUCUCUCUCUCUCUCUCUCUCUCUCUCUCUCUGACCUUCGAUGGGGAUUGCACGUGCUGUUCCGGGUCCUUUUCGAGGGAAAUGAUUGGCGCCAAGGGUUUAAAUUUUGGUGCGCCUCGAUUUCGAUUUCCCCUUUCUAUUUCAUUUGUGAAAAUUAGGGUUGUUAGUCCUCUUAUUAAUAUGUCUAUUUUUUUUGCAGUUUGAUCCUUCCAUAGUUGCAGAGUGGCUCUCUGUGUUCUGCAAUUUGAGAAAUCUGAGUCAUUUUGCAAACACAGAAAGCGUACUUAAAUAUUGAUAUGCAUAUUUAUCUAAUAGUGAUUCCACAAAAUCUCACAUUAUAUUAGAAUUUAAAUUUUCUUAAAUUCAUAUUUGUCUCUCCAAUUACAUAUUUUUACUCUUAGUAUUAGACAAAAAGAUCAAAUUAAACGUGAUGAUGAGUGAUGGAUUAUUUAAAAUUAACCAAGCAUUCAUCUAACGUUUGUUAACAAUAAUCUCACAAACGUCGAGAAAACGGAAAAUAAGUGAAAUGUGGAUUGAGAGAAUAGGGGAGGAACAUUAUGCCCCCAAGUCGACGAUUGUCUAGCCUUUAAGGCUUCCAAUAAGGAUAGAUGUAAUAUAUUCAUUAACAUAAACUAAUCUAAUAAAAAGGCCAGACAAGAGAGUUGAUAGGAAUCCCAUAUAAAAAAUGGUUUGUAGUUUGAUAGUAAUGUUCAUGUCAGUUAUUCUAAUAACUGUUAAGGAAGUUCAAAACGAAUGCAUAUGAGAAAUAUUUAGUUCUUGAAAAUAUCAAAUCUAAAAUACUAUCCUAAUCUUUUGUCUUUUUUCAUUCAAUAAAUUUCUAUCUUAAUUAACUUAGAAGGUAUCAAAGCAUGUCAAUUGCAAAUCAAAUGUGUUUGUGACCGUGCGAUAUUUGAGUUUGUUCAUUGGGUAAUUAGUAAAGGAGCCAAAGUUUGUAGGUUAAGGGAGAGAAGUGCCCCUUAAUGUUCCACAAUCAAUGUAUGGGCAUAAAGGUGAGAGAUAUAAUAUGGCAACACAUGUAAGAAGGUGUGAUUGAAUGCUAUAGUUUGGCAAUUUGGUUUAGAGAUAUGACCGAUAAUGGUCAUAUUGAAGAUUGAUCGAGGAAAUGGAGAGAUUGAUCAAGAUAAAGCAUUCCACGAAUGACGGAUUCACGUGAGUUUGAUUCCAAAUAAGGAUAUGGUUUCUAAUGAAGUGAAAGUGUUACUCAAAGUAGCAAAAAAGUCAUUCCAAAAUGUCAAUAGCAUGGAGAAUUAUGGACGAGUCUUUCAACCAAAUCAUCAACACACACACCAAAAUAAAUGUGGUCCAACGAGUCGUUUUUAGUUAUCAAUAAGUAAGAGAUAACUUAUAACAUAAUUUUUAUGAUGUCUAGCAUUUUACACUGCAACUUCAAAAGUAGUAUGCUUUUCAAACAAAAAAUAAAGUGGUAUGCUUAUUUUGGGAUGCAAUUCAUCUACUAUAGUUAGAAAGAUUGUAGAUACACACAUUAUUUGCGAAUCAAACAUUCCAAGAAUUUAUCAUGCAUUGUUGUUAUUGAGAGAUAGAUAUAAUGUGUCAGCCGCAUCGCUAAGGUAUGCAUAGUGAAUACAUUAUUCUUCUGUCUUCAAGUAUCAUUGACCAAAGUAUGAAGGAAGUUUCAUCACGGUUGUUGUAAUAUAAUGCAGAAAUGCCAAUAAACCUUGCAAUUAAAUCAAUGCAAAAUCAUUAGAGAAAUAAACAAGGAACAUUAAUAACACUAGAAAUUUACGUAGUUCAACCCAAGUGUUGAUACCUACACUAUAGGGAAAGCUAGUAACAAAUAAUUCACUAAUCAAUCAAAGAAUUAUAGAGCCACUCACACGCUUGAGUAUUUUUUAUACCUACAUUACACCUUAACCCAGAGUGUUUUGCCUUACAAAUUAUCAUCUCAUUGCCCAAAACACUUACGUUUCCACAAAGAAAACAACACAAUUUGGGUGUAAAGUCCUUCGCACAAAUCACUAUUUGAAGCUUCCUUCAUUAGCAGCUCAAUCAAUGAUCGAUCAAACUGUCGAAUCUCAAGUGAGCAACGGCUUUUCUUAUUUAAAGUCGUUUAUUUAUUUAAAAAUCUACCAUCUAAGUAAAUCAAAGAUUAUCAUUUGAAAGGAAAGCAAGAAAAAUUGAAGUCCGAUUAGGACUCUUUCCCUUAUGCCUCAUCUAACACAAAUCGGUUUACAUCAUUUAAUUUGGUUAGGUCUCAUACACAGCUUAAACUUGAGGCAUUAAUUUAACAAUUUCCACAUUGGUUCAAUGUUAAAGGCAAGUCAUAAUGCUCAUCAUCUAUGCUAGCUCUCCCAACGCCUCAAUGGAAACUCAACCAUCACAUAUGUUUGUGAAACCCAAGCAAGGUUUAAAUUAUUUAGAGGAAUGAGGUUGUUCCACAUGUUCCUAGGAUUCUCCACCGUAAGAAGUUUCUUUGCAAUCCUAACGUAGAAAUUUCAAUCAUCAAUGAGUUCAAUUCUCCUGCGAUAUUUCUAACUUUUAGUUUGUACUAUUCAUGGUAUAACUCAAACAACCAAUAAUACUAAUAUGUUAAGCGAAUGGCAAAUGUUUCACCUCCAUCGAAGUACGCAGUGAUAGACUGGACAAUUCAUGAUACAUAACAAGUAGAGUACUCACGGAAUUUUUCAACUGCAUGUUGAACGGUCUUCAAAUUUUCCAAUGUAACUCUCCCAAGUCACUCGCAAUAUUCCAAUAGUCUCUCUACAUCUUCAUUCUUGAAGUUGUCUUUACUAUGCCCAAAAACUAUUUAUUUCAAUAUCUACAUACAAUUGUAUUCACUGCUUCAUCCUAUAAAUCUUCAUCUAAUCCAACAUUUAAGAGUAAAGAGUGAGACAUCAACAACAGCACGAUGUUUCACUAUGUCUUCCUGUGUGGCAAAUCGAGCUAAGCUCAUCAAAACAAAAUGCAACUCUUUAUCAAUUCUCAAACUUAUGGUCUUUUUUCCUAUCUGCCUUUAAAUCAUCGUUUUUCAUGACUUGAACCAACCAAACACCUUGCUCUUGUGUUUAAGAAGACAAAUCCAUACUUCCUUUAAAAAAUCAUCAACAAAGGACAAUACAUACCUAGCACUCCCCCAAACAAAACUUGAGAGGGCCCCCAUAAGUCUAAGUAUAUGUAGCCUAUGAUCUCCAAGAUUUGGUGAAUUUCUAUGCUAAACUUCACUCUUUGCUGACUCUACAUAUCGUAGUGUUCACAAAAGUUAAGCUUCCCAAUUUGAUGGUCUCUUAAUAGACCCCUUCGACUCAAAACAAUCAUCUCCCUCACAUUCGUGUGUCUAAGUCUUAUUGCCACGCUUGUGUUUUGUCCUAACUAGAAGUAUUAAAGAAUCUAGCAAACAAGCCAAUCACUAUCUUUCCCUAGAAGAAUUACAAUCCAUGGUCUAUCUUCCCCUACAACAUAGUAAGCACACCUCAAGAGACCUUUAUAACUCCUCCACCUUAAAUAUAGAUUCAAUAUCCAAACUUGUCAAGAGCACUCAAUGAGAUAAGAUUAUUUCUCAACUCUAGUACAUGCCUUGCAUUUGUCAAUAUUCGUACCACUCCAUCAUGCAUCUUAAUGUGAGCUAUUCUAAUCCAUACUACUUCAUAAGUAGCAUCGUCUUCCAUAAACACCUUGCUACCCUCUGUGCAAUGAUAAGUAGUGUAUAUGAGAGAUCACGUGAUGAAAACAUUUUGAGUCAAGCACCCAAUAGUCACUUGAUGAACUAAUGGUAAUUGCUAACACAACAAUGAUAUCACUAGAGCUAUUCUGUGUUGCGGUAACAAUAUUACAUUCACUUGCAAACUCCACCUUAACUCAUUUACCCCAGUACGUUGGACAAUCUCUCUAGUGCCCUACCCAUCACAGUGAUAACAUGGGUGAUUUCAAAUAUUAGACUUUGAUUUAGAACAACUCUUUUAUGCGUUACCUCUAGACUCUCUUCGUUCAUCUCUAUCUCGGAUAAACAAAUCUUGUGUUAGAGUUAAUAUUUGUACACUUGUAAUAAAUUUACUUAAAAAUAAUUUUUUGAUCAUAAAAAAUCUAAAACUGGUAUACAUAUGACAAAUUUAUUUCGAAAUGAUUUUUUAAUCUUGAAAAACCAUAAACCAAUAUACAUGUAAUAAAUUUACUCAAAAUUAAUUUUUUAAUCAUCAAAAUCCAUAAAUCGGUACAUGUGUAACAAAUUUACUCUCCGUAAGUUUAUGUUUAAUUUUACUGUCAAAUUCCCAAGUUAGACGACACAUGGUGGAUGACAAGUAUACCAAUUUUGGGUUUUAUCUUUUGUUUGUCAUAUGUGUAUCGGUUUUUAUGAUUUUUCGUGAUACUAAUCCAAUUUAGCGGAUGGUAUAUAUUGUCAUAAAUGUAUCAUUUUGGGAUUUUUUGCCGACAAAAAAAUUAGUUUUGGAUAAAUUUAUGACAGGUAUACCGGUUUAGGAUUUUUUGCGGUCAAAAAAUUAAUUUGAGGUAAAUUUACACUUUGGGAUUUUUUGCGAUCAAAAAAUUAAUUUGGGAUAAAUUUGUUACAUGUGUACUAAUUUAAAGUUUUUAGUAGUCAAAAAAUUUGUUUGGGCUAUAUUUGUCAUAGAUGUAUUAAUUUGAGGUUUUUCAUGGUAUUUGCCCUUUGCAUCAGUAACUUCUUUUGUCGCUUCUUAGAUAAGAAGGCGAACUUUGCCUCUUCCAAAAUAAUUUGGUAGAGAUGCCAACAACACCAUAUCUUGUUUCUCAAGGCUUUAUUGAUGUUUUUUAAUUCUAUCAUGAACUUGUUAAACUCAUCUAAGUGGGCUCGGAUAGAUGUGCCCACAUCAUUUUUUUCUCUUUUCCCUCGCAAACCUUUUGUCCCGCUAUUCUAUAUACGUCUCUAUACACUUGAGUCACAUGUCAGCGGGAACUUUCCUUAUUUAAGUUCACUUCUUUAUCUGAAUCGGCCGCCCCAGUAUAUCCAAGAUUAUCACUUGUCUCAUCAAAUUAUGACUCUCUCCCUUACGUCUCAUCUAACACGGAUUUGUCUACAUCCUCCACUCGGGUCUCCAACACGGUUCAAACUUCAGAUAUUAAUUCAACAAUGAUCACGUAUAAAAUAAUACAUGGGACAAUGACCGAGAUGCUGUUCGUAACCACUCGCGAAGGUUACGGAAAUAGAGGAAUGGCCAAGAGACCCUUUGGAGAAAUUAAAAAUGUAAGUUGAAAUCUGCAUGUACUGAGAAUCACUGCUUACGUAACAUCCACCAGUUCUUAGGUCUUUGAAAAACAAUAGGAGGUGCAAUAGCUUAUUGAGCUCUUGACACCAAAUCCAUCUAAAAUAAGACGCAAAGUGGAAACCGAAGUACUUCACUAAUUCACGGGAAGAUAAUCUCGUUGGAACGUAUCGAUCCAAUGCCGACUCGAGCCGCUCAUCCGCCAACUUCUCCGGGACCUCAGGCAUCCCUCCUCUCGCUGCAUUUCCACUCAUUCUCUGUUUAGCUUCUUGAGCAUUCAAUCUGUCCCGAAAACGCAAUAUUCUCCGCAUCUCGCAAUUCAAACAAAAGGAAAAAAACAAGAGAGAAAUCAAUCACUAAAGCUCGAGAUCACAAAGGACUAUUAUAGAGAUGCGACACCCGAGCGAGCGGAUACGCAAAGCGAUCCUGUCCCAAUCGAUAACAUGGUAAAGGGAGAAGAAAACAAGAACAGGAGAAAGAACGACAACGCGUCACGCUUCUUCACCUACGCAGGAGCAGCGUUGCCUGCUCCAACGUGAUGCACAUGGCGAGGCCUUCGUCUCCGUCCAAUGCACGCGCUAUGGGACCAAUCGCGAAACCAGAAACGAACUAUCAAAUAAUGAAAAAGACCCCAAACGUGUCUGUGCUCGCUGCAUUCUAUAUUCUAAAAUGUGUAAUAUAUUUUCCACGCGGGUACCUCUUAAUCUUUCUUAAUUCCCUCCUUGUCCCACAUCGCGAUUCACGUUCUUUCUUUAUCGUCAAAGUGAUGCACUCGAAGCUGGUGGAGCCAAGCACAACGACCUUAUCUCUCACACUUAGUGGAGUAUCUACGUGUUUUUGGCUUAGAUCGAUGUCGUGGGGACCGUAAUACAGCGAACGCAUGAGGAAAAAAACGAAACAGCGCGAAUCUCCGAGCGAAGGAUACCAUGCAGGGCGCAUCUGAGGAGGAGGUGGACUCCACUUUAGCCCCCCAUGCAACUGACCUCGAUUAGUCUCGAGCUGGGGCAGAACGUUGCCGCAACGAUCUCUGGUUGAAGGGCACUUUCUGAAACUCGCACAGCACCCAGACACGACCGGAAAGCUAGGGUAGACCGUUGUCUUCCCGGUCUUGCUCACUCGUUUAUUCGUUUUUAGGGUUUCGGUCGAUAGCGUUACUUCUUUGUGGUCCUCUAUUUCGCCUGUUUUCGCCGUCCAAUUACGACGGGGAGAUGAUGUCGAAGUAGACAUGACCGCCUCCCUUUGCUCGCUGCCAACGCCAUAGUUGAAAUCGAAUUGGCUGACUUUUUCCUGGUUGAAUUCCCGCUUCCUGGUCGACAAGUUCCUCGGAGUCUUAUUCCAGGGUUCUCUCGGGAGCAAGACGAGAUUAUGUGAACACAGUUGGUCAGUGGAUUGGUUCAGAUUUGUGUGUUGGAGAACAUGGGAGACGUCGGAAAAAAAAAGCCAAUGUCGUCGUAGCAAACUGAUGUUGACGAAACUCGUUCAAAUUCCAUGACUUUGUAGCUUGAUUUUUCCCCUCCCGAGCUUUAGGAAGAAAAGGAACAGCUCGUGUAACUUGGUGUGUCGGUGAUUAGGAAUAGUAGUGCCAUGGACUUUGAAGGACAUGCGAUGUUUGACAUAUUGAUUGUUAAAGCAUACGUCAACCAGUUUGAUCCAAACACUCAUCAGCGCACGGUCGUGGACCGUGUGCACCCUCAGAGGCCUUGGGCAAUUGAAUAUUGCUUAAUAUUGAACCGAUCAAACUUAGACUGGCCUUGAAAAACAAAGACCAUUGGAUGAAAUGUUGAUCGAGAUCAAUUGAGUAAUUCGAGCAUAAAUCAAGUUCUUAAUUUGCUCAGUAGGUGUAUAUGCCAAUUAUUACAUUUAAUUCGCCGGUCCAAUAAAUCGAGAGAACGUAUCUUGUUAUAUAUUUUGUAUUACUUUAUGACCGUAUGUAUCUCUAGGUCUAAAAUAAUAAUUAACUAUAUUCCAACUUGUAUGUCAAUUUCGAAAUACACACGGUCAAGCAGAUUACUUGCUGAGGAUUCUUGAAUUUUAUAGACGUGUACACAUUCUAGGUCAAAAUCAACGUUAGAUGGUCGAAUGAGAUCGAAAACGCCGAGUCCUAAACCGCGAAAGGUCCACGUAGAUUAAAAAAAAAUUGGAAAUGGAAAAAGAAAAUAACUUUUAAGCAUUCCACUUUUCACGACCUACUCCAACUGCCAACUAAAAGUCGGUGGGGCCCAAGAGGAGGAAAAAAAGGACAGUAGUGCCCCUUCAUCUCCUGACAUCUCCUCUGCUGGUGCGGGGGCAUUUCCGUCAAAUCGCCAUUAAGCCGCGGCCAGCCUGCCGCGCUGACCUGUUGCCACGUCAUCCGGGAGGCAUUUCCGUCAAAUCAAGAUCGAGCCGCGGACUGCGCUCUCUCGAGUUUUGGUGAACCGCGUACGCCGCCCGCCAUACGAGCGGGUGCGAAUCGUAAUUACGAGCCAAAAGCCAGGGUAAAGAGUUUACAUUUUCGACUAUAUAUACGCAACUUCGUCCCGGCUAAGCCACUCGGUUUCGACUCUCUUUCUCUUUCUCUAUCUCUGGAGCUCGUGCAGACAUUUCAAUGGCGAUCGGCGCUAUCAAUCUUCACAUGUUUCAGACUGCUUGCGGCGGAGCCAGCUUCAAGCGCCGCCUCUCAUCGCUAAACCCUUCGGCAUCUUCGGCGGCCGCCGCCGUCAGACCCAUCACCUCCACCGAGUCGGCUCGGAAACAGCUCGCCAACCUCGACCGCGUCCUCCAGAAGGAAUCCACGCCGGCCUUGUCGCUCCCGCAAGGGCCGCAAAAGCCAGCUUCCGAGCCAGACUUUGGGUUCGGCACGUCGUCGUCGUCGUCGAAGAAAAGGGGCAGGGGACUGUUGCAGCGCUUGAACUUGAGUCGAAUCUGGCCCGAAAUCAAAGCGGCCGCGGAGGAGAUGUCCCCGCGCCGCCUCGGCCGGCUCCGGCGGCUCCUGUCGAAGAACCCGGAGUAUUCCCCGAGGAACGGCCUCGGGAGCCGGUGGCGGCAGUACCACGGCUGCGACGACUGGGGGGGCCUGCUCGAUCCGCUCGACGAGAACCUCCGGCGGGAGAUGAUCCGGUACGGUGAGCUGGUGCAGGCGGCCUACCAGGCGUUCAACUCGAACCCCGCCAUGCCGACGGAGGAGGCGCCGAUGCCCCACCACGUGGCGCUGCCGGAUAAGUCUUAUAAGGUGACGAAGAGCCUGUACGCCACUUCGGCGGUCGGGCUCCCCAAGUGGGUGGACGACGUGGCUCCGGACCUCGGUUGGUUGACGCAGCGGUCGAGCUGGGUCGGUUACGUUGCGGUGUGCGACGACAGGAGGGAGAUACAGCGGAUGGGCCGCAGAGACGUCGUGAUCGCCCUGCGGGGGACCGCGACGUGUCUCGAGUGGGCGGAGAACUUUCGGACUAAGCUAGCACCGAUAUCGAGUACCGAAGAUCCCAAAUCCAAGGUCGGAUCUGGGUUCCUGAGCUUGUUCAAGACUCCUGGAGCUCACGUGCCGAGCUUGGCGGAGUCGGUCGUUGAGGAAGUCCAACGGCUCAUGGAACUCUACAAGGGCGAGACCCUCAGCAUCACCAUCACCGGUCACAGCCUCGGCGCAGCGCUAGCAUUACUAGUGGCCGAUGAGCUAACAACACGCGUGGCAGAGCUGCCGUCGCUCGCGGUGUUCUCUUUCGGAGGACCUCGGGUCGGGAACAGCGCUUUUGCGGACCGAAUCCGUUCGAAGAAUGUCAAGGUCUUGAGGAUCGUGAACGACCAGGACGUGAUCACCAGAGUGCCCGGGAUGUUCCUGAGCGACGAUUUAGAACGCAAACUGAAAGAGACGGUCGACGGCAUGCUCGAAAACGGGCAGAUGCCUUGGGACUCCUACUCGCACGCGGGGACGGAGCUGCGCCUCGACACGAGGAAGUCGCCGUACCUGAAGCCGAACGCCGACGUCGCCUGCUGCCACGACCUGGAGGCAUACCUACAUCUCGUGGACGGGUUCAUGGCCUCGAAUUGCCCUUUCAGAGCGAACGCGAAGCGUAGUCUAGUGAAGUUGCUAAACGAACAAAGAACUAACGUGAAAAAGCUGUACACGAGCAAGGCCAAUGCCUUAACUUUGAAUGUAGAAAGGGGGCAAAUUAGACCUCCCAACAUGGCUAGCUGCUUGCCUAGCCCAUCUUAACAAAGUUGCCUUCUUAGUUUCAGACAUCAUUCGUGUUUUCUAAACAAAGAACAACCGCGAAACUUUAACUAUGUCCGCGCGAUUAAUAUGCACAGAUGAUUCCCUAAUUGAUGAGAUCAUUCUCGGCGCACGAACGUUCUCCUGUAGUAUCGAAAUCUGCCGUGAAGUUCACUUGGGAAGAAUUUGAGACCUCGUCUCGCCUUACGUUUGAGUGUCGUGCUGGGUGUGCUUCUCCUUGGUCAAGCGCCUGAAACAGCAGGGCAACUGACAACCGGGUCUUGCAAACGCCGACACGCGCGGAGGCGAGGAUCGCUUGGCGAACGAGCAGAAGUUCAAAUUGGUGCGCCGCUCACGAUGUUGUGAUGACUUCAACCUUGAAAAGUCGCACAGUUCUGCACCGACGGGGCAAAAGGGUAAACAGGCGGUGAAGUUGGACAAGUUCUUUAAAAGGUUUUUUUUGGGAUUCCUAACGGUUGACAAGUUCUCGGUCGUUGAAAUGGUAGUUACCCCGGACCGUCGGUGUCGCAUCUCCCGUCGCUAUUGCCAUCUGCCUCCGAGGAUCCAGCCAAUUUUUCAGAGGGAGUUUCGUAUUGUCGUCAAUCUACGUUAUUUACAGAACCCAACUUUUCGAAUUUGAUGUCCCGAUAUUCAAAUGACCAAAACGUCAUAAUCUAUGAUCUUAAUAUGGAAAAAAUGAAUAAAAUAUUAUGCAUCGACAUCUUCGCACGGCUUGCCUAGCAAAUCUCCAAUUCAUAUUCAUAUUCCCCAUUGAAAAUCGUCGCAAAUAAAAACUGAUGGAAAGCUAGACGGAGGAAGAAAAGGGUGGAAAAAUGUAUUACUUUCUCAUAUCAAAGAUGUAUGUGUACAACCUUAUUUAUUGUAAAACUGGAGUCGGGUUUGCCUCAAAACCCGGUGGACCCGAAUUGGUUUGGUUCAGAAAUUGCCAACCCAGUUCAGGAACCGGAUUGGGCUCAGUAGCGAGAUGUGGGCCUCCUCCUGGCCCACUAUUUCCUCAGAAAUUCCUUGGGCUGACCUUGAUGGAUUUGCCUGGCCCUGUGUGGGCUGAACUUGAAUGGGAAAACAAUGGACGAACGGACCCGAGAAAAGCUGCCCUGAAUGGGCCUGAACUGGAGCUGGCCUCGGGAAAGGUUGCCCUUGUCGAGCCUGAUUUGGCCGCCCGUGUUCUCUUCGGUCACCCUGGGUACAUCAAUGCGUGCAUCCGAAGGUGGGUCAUUGGGGCUAUGCGAUGCGCUAAAAUUAGGAAUGAGCAUGGUUCAGGUGAGCGAUUCUUGAAUUUUAGCGUGAGCACAGUCUAUGUGGACGUUCCCAAUUUCAGGAACUGCCUAUUGGUCUUAUGGAUCCACUUCGAAACCGAUCAAAUUACAGUCCAAUUUCCCAAUGGAUCUAUGAAACUAGUUAUCAAUCUCUAUAAAUUGAAUUCAUCAAUUAAUAUCAUAGUAUAUCUAGUUUCUAUUUAUGCUCUUAAAAUGAGUCAUUGGCUCUCAAUUUCACACAUGACAAUAGAGCAUUGCAAUGUUUAUGGACAUCUACCAAUCGAUUCUCUUCUUCCUCUUCAUUUUGUUUAUUUUGUUUUUGCCGAGAAAGCAAGUAAAUACAUUAUUAGAAAAAAAAAAAAACAAGUAGGAUGUUAAUCCCAUUACACAUCCAAGAGACAAAAUUAAUUAAUAAUAUAAAAUAACUGCAAAUAUAUAUGUAUUUAGCCGAAAAACUACAAAAUAAUUGAGUAAUUGAGAUGGAAUUUCUUUUUAAAAAUAUAUAUGUGUACAUUGGUCCAGUUUGGAUGAGUAAGUAGAUAGUUCAACUUCUAAAAUCGGGAAUCAAAGUGGUACCCACUAGUUCCACCAAAUUUGAACUAAGAACCAAAUCGGUCACCAUGGGAACUGUAGAUUCUAGGCUGGUCCAGUCCGAUUCCAAUUUAAGGCAAUUCCAGUUCUGCUGCAUACCCUAGCUAAAAUCAACCUUAUGAUUUUUGGGCAUUUUUCUUGCAGGGUAAAGAAUGGUGCGCAAAAGCUAGUCUAAAUCGAGAGGCUCCAAUACCAUGUCACAAAUUAAAAUCGGCGGAAAUAUGUAUUCCUUUCUCGUAUCAAACAUGCAUGUGCACAACCCUAUUUGUAGUACACAUAGCCUAAAUAAUCCUGGCAAGAAUAUAUAGAAGAAAAGAAAAGAAUGAUUCCACCAUAUGCAGUAUCAAUCAAGGGAAUCAUAUCAAAUCAAUCGGUGCCAAAGAUGUCUCUGUCAUAUCAACAGGAGUAACGAUAUCUCCGACAAAAAUCACCAGGAUCCAUCUCGAAUCCGGCAAGCUCGCAACGCAUGUGGAGGAACUAGUCUUGACGUGAGAGUUACGCCCCCUUGUCAAUGGCAGGCUCUACGUCUAUUUAGAGUAACAUCUACUUUUGUUGCCCUUGUGUUGAUUUUGCCUCAAAUCAAUUCACAUGCAUGCAUGCGAGAAGAACCCAAAGAGCGUGCAGACUGCUUCUUGAAAUUUACUACUCCCGUGCAUAGGAUAUAAAGCACUUGAUUUGUUAGGGGCGUUUUAGGCUGCAUUUGUUAUUGUUUCUUUUUUCUGUUUUCGAACACUUUUUCUGUUUUUCUGUUCCUGGGAACGAAAAAGGAACAAAAACGUGUUCGUGUGCAUUUUUGUUCCAAAAUUAUUUUUUUAUUCCCAGAAACACAUCUAGAACAGAAACAACAAACAAAAAAAAAGUUAUUUUUUAUUUCCAAAACAAAUUUUUUAACACUUUUCUCUUUUUUCUUUGGCCGGUCGCCGGCCUCGGCUAUGGCCGGUGACCGGCCAUCGAGGGUCGGCGAUGCUAUUGAGGGCUGGCGAGACCGAGCGUCGCUGGAUUUAGGCGAGCCUGAGCUCACCCAGCCAAGGCGAGGCCGAGCCUCGCCAAGGGCCGGCGAGCCUUGCAGUGGCUAGGCGAGGCUGUCGGCGGCGACCGGCCAAAAGAAAAAAAAAAGAAAAAAUAAAAAUAAAAAUAAAAUAUUAAAAAUUAAAAGAAACAAAAAAAAUUGUUCCCGGAACAAGUUUACCAAAUAUGUAUUUCUGGUAAAAAAUUGUUCACCGGAACAGAAACAUUUUAUUUAUUUAUUUCCGUUCCCUGGAACAGAAACGUUACCAAACAUGCCUUUACAUUCUGUCGUGUUGGUGCAACAUUCUCAUCAAUUGUUUAAGGAGAAAACUGUCAAAUCAAUCAUACAUUCAUUUUACGGGUGUUAUUUCAGUCAUUAACCUUUAAAUUUGGCUAAUUUAGUCUUUAAAUUUAUGUGAGAUUCCAAUAUAAUUUUGCCGGUCAUCUUUUGCUGGGAACUUGCCGGCGUAAUUAUAUGUCACGUAAGACGGCCGACGAUGAUUGUGCUGCCUCGCAAGCGAUUCAACCAAAAUGGACAAAGACCAAAUUAUGGAAAACGGCAUCAUAUCAAGGCUUACGGUUAAAAUUUACAAUGCGAACGUAUCAAGAUGUAGCAUACUUCUUUACACAAAAGACCAAAUUACGCGAAAAUAACUGUAUAAAUUUAGCCCGCUGUAAAUAAAACGAAACUGAGGUGUUCCGUGGGCGUGGAAAAUUGAGGAAAUCGGUAAUAGCGUGGCCGCAAAGGUUCCUGGUUGUGCCGCCCACGAUGGGCCAAGAAAGAUUCCCUAUGAAGCAAAAGGCCUUUAUAGCUCUUACAACGUCAGAGUUCUCUCUCUCUCUCUCUCUUCAUUUUCCCUUAAUACGGUCUUAUUAAUGAAAUAAAAAGUCAAUACUGUUGCUUAAAAAAAUUACGAAGAAAUCACGCGUGAACUUACGUAUCAAAAUCUACGCAUUGCGAAAGUUCCGAGUAUUGAGAAUUAAAAUAAAGUAACUAAUCUAUCACAAGAUUUGUAUUAACCAAAAAAGUAAAAAAAUUGUACAGACAAGUUCUUAGUCAUUCGAGCUGUUGAAAGAGGUAAAUUUUCGUAACGUCUGUAUUCUUUUUAUUUCACACUUACCAAAUCUCUUUGAACGCGGAAAUUAUUAUUUUUUUUAAUUUUUUUCGCAACCAUUUUUCGAAGUCAUCGUGAAAGAAAAAAAAUAAAAUUCCCUCGUUGAUUUCUCGUUCGGCCCAUCCCACCGACUUCGACUUAACAGCGACAGGGCAUUGGAAAAACAUCCGACCAAUCAGAGAAGCGCUCGCAUCCUCGCUACGAUAGACCCGCCCGCGGCCGCGCAUUCCCCCUCCUAGGGUUUUAUAAGAGCCGAGCCUCGUCGCAAGUUCCCUUCUUCCUCGGCCGCCUUCCUUAGGGUUUACAGUCGUUCGCUUCCGCUCGCGAGCAACCGCAUUUCCGCCCCCCGCCAUCUCCCUCUUCCUUCCUCUCUCGAGCUUCGGCCCGUCCUAGGUUAAAGCAAAGCUCCGCCAUGGCUCGCGGCGGGCUGUAGGGUUUCGCGGUUGCUGUCUGGUUGCGCCGGCGGUCGAGGUCCGAGAGGAAGGCGAGAGCUCCUUGAGGUAGAGAGAGAGAGAGAGAGAGAGAGAUGGCGACCGCGAACCCUUUCGACAUCCUCGGUGACGACGACAAUGAGGACCCCAGCCAGCUCCUCGCCGCCGCCGCCGCCGCCGCCGCCGCCAAGCCGGCCGAGAAGCCGAAGAAGGGCCCGGCCCAGGCCGCCGCCCCGCCGUCGAAGCCGGCCGCCAAGCUGCCCUCCAAGCCGCUCCCCCCUGCUCAAGCUGGUGAGUGAGCUCUGCCGCGGCUCCGUUUCGGUUUCUGGCGUUGAUUUUGUUGCUCUUAGCGGUGUGGAAUCUCGAUAUUUGUCAUCCGUCUUUUCACUUGAGGAGUGAAAAAAAUCAAUCCUUUUGCUGUAAUUAUGAGACAUUGAAAUGAAGAGAGCGUGUAUUUAGAUAGCGAUUUGAGAAGAUUGUUGCCGCAAAUGAGAAAUUUUGGGGAAAUUUCGGAUUGAUUCUGUUGUGAUUUCUUGGUAAACAUGGGUUGACUCUGUGAGCGAGAAAGCUGCAGCGCAAGGUCGUUUCAGGUAAAUUUUUGCUGUAUUGAUUAUUGUUUAGCUUCAAUGCGCUGGCUUGUAAGUAUUGCGCUUUGCGGUCAUUCUAGUAAUAGGGAUUUUCUUGCCUUUUAAGCCAUAGUUGCAAUUGGUAAUUUAGAUGUGUGCUGAGUACCUUCACUUGAAAUUGUUGACUGUCAGCGCUAAAGUACGAGCUUCUUGUACUUAAGCGGACCAGUUUUUGACCAGCCGUUUGAUGUUGCAUUUGGGCGAGAUCAACGAACAAAAUAAAGUUAGAAAACUUUUGUCUUUUUUCCCAUUUAGUCUCAUGCUUCAAAUACCAUUUACUUAAGUUAAUAUUUAAUUUUCUGUCUGACUUGGCUUAUAGCUGGGAUGGUGAAAAGUAUCGGAACUUUUGCUUGAUUGUUCUGGUGCUUGUAAACCUGUCUUUGCCUUUCUCUUACUUAAGUCGGUGAUAGUUUUUCCCAAGAACUAUAUUUGGAAAUUGACGAACUAUAUGAUGAUAUUCUGUAACAGUGAAGGAAGCAAGGAGUGACACUGGUGGGCGCGGACGUGGUCGUGGAGGUGGUCGGGGUUACGGCCGUGGCCGUGGAGGCGGUCGUGGCUAUGACCAAGAUUCAGGGAACUACGAUGGACCAGCUGGCAAUAAUGGUUUUUCUGGUGGUUAUAGACCCUCGGAGGAAGGAGAUUCUGGAAAAUCAUCUGACAGGGGUGGUCGUGGCUUUUUCCGCGGAGGUCGCCCUGGUGGUUAUAACAAUGAAGAAGCUGGUGAGGGGGAGCGUCCAAGGAGAGCGUUUGAUCGCCGCAGUGGCACUGGACGAGGGUUGGUAUUGUAGACAAGAAUGUUACAUCUUAGCAAUUUUAGUCUCUCUCUCUCUCUCUCACACACACACGCACACACGCGCGCGCACACUCAUAUGCACACGCACAAGAAUGCACCUUUCCAAUGCAUCCAAGAAGUUAAUCACACACUCAAGUAUGCGCCCUCCCAUGUUAUGCACACAUACAUGCAAAUGGACAACCCAUAUACAUGCCCAAAGUUGUGCUAUUAAUGCUGAUCCAAAAUAAUUGCUUCAGAAAUGAGACUAAACGAGAUGGAGCUGGUCGUGGAAACUGGGGAGCUCCAACUGAUGAAAUUGCUCCGUAUGCACUUUGUUUGCUAACUUUUGAUAUCUAACUAUUAUUAUUAUUUUUUUUCCUUUGGGCGAUUCUUUUGAUCUAUUGAUAUUGUUAUUUUUGCAAUGCUCAGAGAGACUGAAGAACCUGUCACUGAAGUUGAGAAAACUGGGGGUUCUGAGAAGCAGUUGGCUGGUGAGGAUGGUGCAGAUGCUAGCAAGGAGAAACCUCUGAAUGAACCAGAAGAAAAGGAGCCUGAAGAUAAGGUAAAUCUAUCGUGUGUUCAUGGAUCAUCUUUAUGGAUCAGUUGUCCUCUUCUGGGCUGCACCCUGUAUUCUGUGACAGUAUCAUGGUCCAACCCUUUUCUUAUGAUCAAGUAGUUUUCAAAAGCCAUUCCUACUUUCAAGACCAUGCUCAAUCUGUGGAGAGAAGCUUGAUUUGGCCAAAUGCAUAUUUUAUUCAUUUGGGGUGGGUUAAUUGUUUGACUUUGUUGUUCGGAGUGUUUCUAUCUGUGUAUUAAGAAUACUUGAGAAUGCAUGGUAAGCCGAAAUUAAAUGGCUGAAAAGCUCAAGAGUGGCAAUUACUACAGCAAUAGUGGAAGGAAAAAGCUGGGCAGUAGUACCACCUGAAUAAGGGAAGUACUUCUCUAGGCUUAACUUCCCUUAGUUUCUCUCCAUUUCCACCCAGUCAAUCAAAGUUUUGAUCUUAUCUGCGUCUACUUUCUAAAGAAGCAGAAUUGUUGCAAGUGCUCCAACCACCUCCCUUGGAGCUUGUAAUUUUCUUUUUUUAUCUGAUGCUCAUGAAGAAGCGAAAAUGUCAGGAUGAUUCUGGGGAUGGAUGAUCAGGAGCACUUUAUAGUUUUCCACCUUUCUUUCUUCUGUCUUGAGAUGAAAUAUAUAUGCUGGCAUGCCAAAAGAACUCCUGGCCUGCACUUAGAAGAGGAAUUCUUCAAGUCACUUGAAGAUUGAUUGAUACUGUUGGGGUAUAGGUUAUUGAGAUGUUUAGAAUUGCAAUACCCCAUCGUGCUUUCGCUGGGGAUCGAAGAUACUGUUUGCUAUUUCUGUAAACAAGUCUAUCUACCAAUCUACCUGAGGAAAAUUGAUAAGGUUUCUUUUUUUAAGUUGUAGGGAAUGUUUGCUUAGCUUGUGGGAAGGAGGAUAGGAAGCUGCAUUUGUUACUUUGUCGGUCGAAGUAACAUUAUUGGCCAGACAGACUGAAAAAGAUUGUUUAUUCAAGUUUUGUUGGAAAAGAGUUCUAUCCCAGUCUGUCUGAUCAGCCAACCUUAGGAUUUGUGUUAUAAAAUUGUUGUCCACAGCCUUUAAUGUUUUGACCUAUUUGACAUGUAUUUUUCCAACUUAUUUAGGAGAUGACAUUAGAAGAGUAUGAGAAGGUCUUUGAAGAGAACAGGAAGUCAUUGCUUGCACUGAAGACUGAGGAAAGGAAAGUAGAGCUGGACAAAGAUUUGAAGUCCAUGCAACAACUUUCUAACAAGAAGAAGGACAACAAUGACAUCUUUAUCAAGCUGGUGAGAAUAAUUGUUAAUUGUUUUUGUUUUCAUAUUUUCAUUAAUGGUUGCUGAGAAACAUCAUGCUAACCAAGCCUUUUUUUUUUUGUUUUUUGGUUGUAGGGAUGUGAGAAGGACAAACGCAAAGAGGCUGCUGAGAAAGAAGAGAAAGCCAAGAAGGUUUGCUUUAGAGAUCUGAGUUUACUUCAUGUUCUUAGAUAUCUAAUUGAAGAUGCCUCCUUUUCAUGUAUUCAUGUCUCCACAUAAGAAUUGAAUGCUGUGCGGGCUUUGCUUCAUAAUUGGUGUCUCCUCACGUCCAUGCAUUCUUUUGUCUGUAGUCUGUCAGCAUAAAUGAGUUUCUGAAGCCUGCUGAAGGGGAGAGAUACUACAACCCGGGUGGUCGUGGGCGAGGACGUGGCCGUGGUGCCAGAGGUGGUUAUGGCGGUGGCGGUGGCGGUGGCGGUGGCGGUGGCUAUGCUAGAGAUGUCUCUGCUCCUUCGAUCGAGGAUCCUGGCCAGUUCCCUUCCCUUGGUGGGAAAUAAGGUUUUGCCACCGCAUAUACUUCAGGUUGAUAUACUUCAUGCUUGAAGUUGUUGUGACCUUCCAGGACAGUUGGGUAUGAACGGGAAUGCUAUUCUUCCUGUAAUAGAAACCUUUGGAUGGAUGUUAUUCGUCUUUUUGAGUGUAAAAAUUUUAGUUACUCCAUGGAUUUACUUUGGUUUUCUUUUGACUCGAAUCAGUUUUGAUUUUGUUAGAUGAGAAUGAAUUUAGCCUCUUACGCGACUCUUGCUUCCUUCAAGUUGAAUUUAUAUUAUUGUCCCAAUACAUGUGAUCUCGAAGGCAAUGAUAUCUGCUCCGUUGCUACAUAUCCCUGCUUCAUCCUGUUCGGUCACAUUAGUGAUCUGUGAUAGCAGGGAUGUGGAUGAGCACCACAACUCACAAGUCACAAAGAUACCCUUCAGGGUGGAUAGUUUUGAUGAUUUGCUUGAGCACUUCGAUUUCCCUAAGGUGAUGGUCCCUUCUUACUUGCCAAGAUGUCAUUCAAUCUACAGGAUGAUUCACAAAGAGCGAAGGAGAGGUUGAAGCCACUAAUUAAGUUGGUGCUACAAGUGUUGAUGAACGUGUUUAGGUCUCUCUUCUGGCUCCGAGCUGUUCUACGGAUGAAGGCUCUCUUUCUAAAUAUUAUGAUCCAGCUGAGUUUUAGAGAUUUGUUAUCUUGUCAAGAUCCGUGAAAUGGACAUGGCUAGUUCCCACGUGACACCGGCCUUGGUGGCCGAUCCUUACCAAUGCCAUCAGAUAUUGCGUGUCUAGACACGGCCAUAUUGAAAAUGAACGAGAUUGGAGCGACGGUAAUGGCCAUCUCUGCAUCAUAUCUGCAAGGAGGAGGGAUUUGACGUGUCGGGAGCAACGCCCCUCGACCUUCCAUGAUCUGGUGCAUCGGCAUGGAGGUGAAAUGUAUUCCUAAGCGCUUAGAUACUCAAGUUCAUGGUUACGUGUAGGAUACAUGGGACUACAGCUGGGUUCUUAAGUAGGUUCAUGGAGCUGGUCGAAAUGCCCUCACUUUGGAAGAGGCAUGAGAUUUGAGAGUGAGUGACGAGGUUGGAUGUUAGAGGUGACCAAGAGAGAGAGUGAUAGAGGGAGCGACGGAUUGACAAGGCUGGAGACUACCGAGAGUGAGAGGAAGAGAUGGAGGCGAGAGAUGAAAAAAUUAGGACUAUGUAUAUAUUCUUUUGUAAAAUUAGGACUAUGUAUAUAUUCUUUUGUAAAAUUAGGACUAUGUAUAUAUUCUUUUGUACACUCUUGAUCUCAAACGAGCAAAUGAGAGCUGUAGCCGUUGAUCUUGUGGGUCGCACGCGCAGCAAAAGUCAUGGAAGGCUGCGAUGCUGGUUCGUCCUCGGUCCAUUUCAUGGUGGGCGAGCGAGUGGUGAUCAAGAGAAAAUUUGCGGGUCGUUGUGCCCAUCACCGGCCCCAGAGAAAGCACGACUCGGAUAGGACCGCCACGUCACAGCGAUCCCCGAUCUGGAAAUUUGUCAUCUUAUUUAAGCAAGAAGACGACACUCCCCCGAACACAAUAAAAGUGAGAAAAAACCAACAUGGAUGCUGUCGCAUACGUUCGGCAGAGCGCGUCAAGGGGACAAAAGCAUGGACCGAACGAAUCAUUAUCAUUCGGACAUUCGAGCUAUCGAGAAAGAGCAAUGGAAUUCAAACUGAAUAUCAUGUCUUCCACGAAUCUUAUCAAAUCUCAUCCCACAUUAUUCUUUUAUUCAUUCAUGCUCUUUUGUUCCCUUUUAGGUAAGAUUAUAAUGCGUAAAACGAUAUUUAGACUAUAUAAGAUUCGACCCGCAUGAAAGGGAUCUUAUCAAUUUAUGCAAACCUCCGAUACAAUUGAAUAUAUAUAUGUCUUGCUGACAAGGAGUUGGAUUAGAUGGUAAGGGAACUCUCUUGUCCUUGUGAUUUUCAAUUUGAGUCUUCUCUUAAGCACUCGAGAAGUAAAAUCUCGAAUGCAGCAAAUUAAUACGAAGGGAUGCACUCUUCAAUUUGUCUCAAGAGAUAGAUUGAUCAAGGUGUACGGAAAUUUGUGUGGACACUACCUGAUCACGAAACCCAUAUAUACACAUAUGGUUAUGGGUAGUCUUCAGCAUGUUCCAGGUCUUAGUUCUAGUACAACUAAUUCCUCGUCGAAAUGUAAUUAUAUCCUCGAGAGUUUUAUCGCAGUUUCUAUUGAGAUUGUCGUAGCUCCUUUUUUUUUUUUUUUAAUGAAUAAAUCGAGUUUGGGGUAUCUCGGUAAUUUAAGAGCUACAGUGCAAGAGAGAAUUCGGUGACAUUAGCUUCGGAAAAGUAUGCAAGAUCGAGCGUCCGCAGAUCGCUCGCAUCGCCUCGACGGAAUCCAGGGGCGAGCUUACGGUGCGCCCGGUCGCAGCCGAACGCGCCCCCGGGGGCCUUUUAUAAGAGACGGAGGGAGAGGGCUUUUCCGCCUGAGGUUAUCUUCUUUUCCUGCCGCAUUCGCUAGGGUUUUCAGUCACUCUCUCUCUCUCUCUACACUCUCUUCAAGCUCCCUCAUCUUUCCACCAUCACUUUCUCUCUCUACCGACCUCUGCUCUCCUCCGGCGGCAGCUUCGAUCCGUCAAUCGCAUGGCUCGCAGCGGCAGCAGCAGCAGCAGCAGCAGCAGCGCGCUCUAGGGUUUCGGCGGUUGCUUCUCGAUAAGCGCGGCGUCCGGGGGGUGUCUCUUUUUCUUUGUCUCGAGGCGAGAGCAGAAGAGGGAUGGCGACCAUGAACCCUUUCGACAUCCUCGGCGACGACGACAAUGAGGACCCCACCCAGCUCCUCGCCGCCGCCAAGCCGGUCGAGAAGCCGAAGAAGGCUCCGGCUCCGGCCGCCGCCCCGCCGCCGCCUAAGCCGGCCGCCUCGCUGCCGUCCAAGCCCC